CCAUUGGUCAUUUUUGAGAAGACAAGCCAACGCAUGAGCUCUGAUCAGAGGAGUUGGAGUGCGUCAAAAGUUGUUUCGAGAUGGUUAAAGGUAAGUCAUGUUACUAUUUUUACCGGUAUAAUAAUAAUAAUAAUAAUAAUAAUGAUACAUUGAGGUUAUCAUAUAAAACAUGAUGUAAUGUGUAUGUAAUGUCAUGCAGAUAUAAUCGUAUAUGCUGAUGUACAUGCACCUUUUGACGACGACCUUAGUGGAGUUUAUCUAACACAAUCAGACUACGAUCUCGUGGCCGCGGCCACUAGACAAAAAGAGCCGCCGACACAAGCUGGUUUUGAAACACAGACUCUAAUGGACAUCUCUGGACGUCAUUUUGAAGCAUCGAAGACGACAGAGCAAUCAGAGUCACGUGAUACCAACCAAAUCACACCCCACGCCGACCGACAGGAAGUUGUCACGAGCAUAGAGGCGGAACAGGAAGCAUCCACAGACACAGAAUUGGCGGACGCUUUAUCUGUAUACGAAGGCGUGAACCUUCCUCAAGAUUCGAUAAACAAAGUUAGAGUUAAGCGUCGUGACACAGGGCGACGACUUCAAAGAGUGAGAAAGAGCAGACGUACAGCCUUCUACAACACGCGGCAUUCAACCACC